rnacentral:rRNA from 1 species
ACUAAAAACCUAGCCCAGUUCUACAUAAUUAAACAAAGUAAACUAAACCCCUUUAAUAAAACAUUUUAACAUUCUAGUAAAGGAGAUAGAAAAAUUUAUUGGAGCUUUAACAACAGUACCGCAAGGGAACGGUGAAAUAUUUAGUGAAAAAUUUUUAAGUAGUAAAAAGUAAAGAUUACCUCUUGUACCUUUUGCAUCAUGGUUUAACUAGUCUAAUCAAGCAAAACGUUUUUAAGUUUGACCUCCCGAAACUAAGUGAGCUACUUCAGGGCAGCUAGAAGAGCAAACCCGUCUCUGUGGCAAAAGAGUGGGACGACCCUCAAGUAGCGGUGACAGACCUAACGAACUUAGUGAUAGCUGGUUGCUCAAGAAACGGAUUUAAGUCCAGCCUGAAGUUUUAUUUAUAGUCCAUUAAAACCACCAAUUAAUCUUCAGAGUAAUUCAAAUAAGGUACAGCCUAUUUGAAACAGGAUACAACCUAAAUUAAUGGAUAAGAUAAGCCACCCCUACAACCAAGUGGGCCUAAAAGCAGCCAUCUUUAAAAUUGCGUCAAAGCUUAACUGUAUGCACGCUAAAUUACCUAAUUACCAUCUUAAUCCUUUCUUUAUAUUGAGCAAUUCUAUAAAAAUAUAGAAAAUUUUAUGUUAAAACUAGUAACAAGAAGAAGAUCCUUCUCUUAAAUGUAAGUGUAAAUCAGAAAGGACAAACCACUGAUAAUUAACACCUGUGAGCCUAAAGUAGCAACCAACCAAGAAAAUUCUACUUCUACUAACGUUAACCUAACACAAGAACAUUUUAAGAAAGAUUAAAAGAAAAAGAAGGAACUCGGCAAACAUUAACCCCGCCUGUUUACCAAAAACAUCGCCUCUUGUAUUACAUAAGAGGUCCAGCCUGCCCAGUGACUCUGUUCAACGGCCGCGGUAUCCUAACCGUGCGAAGGUAGCGUAAUCACUUGUUCUUUAAAUGAGGACUAGUAUGAAUGGCACCACGAGGGUUAUACUGUCUCCUUUUUCUAAUCAGUGAAACUAAUCUUCCCGUGAAGAAGCGAGGAUGAAACUAUAAGACGAGAAGACCCUAUGGAGCUUUAAACAACACGGCACUUGCCUUUCAAUACAAAAUUUUCUGAAUUCUAAUUUUUUGGGCAACAUGACUGUAAGUUUUUGGUUGGGGUGACCACGGAGCAUAAUACAACCUCCACGUUGAAAAACUAUCUAAACUAAGAUCUACCCAUCUAAGUAUCAACAUAUUGACAUUCAUUGAUCCAAUAUACUUGAACAACGAACCAAGUUACCCUAGGGAUAACAGCGCAAUCUACUUCAAGAGCCCCUAUCGACAAGUAGGUUUACGACCUCGAUGUUGGAUCAGGGUCUCCUAGUGGUGCAGCCGCUACUA